UCGAGAGGUGGUGACGUAUUUCCGUUUGAAUUUAUGCCACAUAGAUUGGUUCCGGGUCCUGCUUGCUCCUAUUGUUUUUGGCCAAAGCUGCAAGAUCUGUACCAUGAAAAAGACGCAAAACUUAAAAUAUCUGUGAGCUACUGGUACAACAAUCGAGUUUUGUGGUGUGCCGUUGUGUCCAGUAAUUAGUCGGUACCAUCUGGUGCUUAGUUUUUUCAUUUUCCUGCUGAUAUCAAGGCGACAGCAGACUGUAGCCAAAACUUAGCCACUACAGCUAACACAUGAUUUGUAGCUGCCUGCUAUUUCAAAGCUUGAGGAUAUUGAAGAUCCAGCGUCAGAAAUGGGAAGAUGGAGGUUAAAAGGAGCUGAACGCGGUUCGUUCACUGGAAUAAUUUGUUGGAGGAAAAUAAUGCCGGAGGAAAUCCACUGCUGGGAACAGGCUGAGAACAGAGGCAGCGAUUCGGCACAAGGUUUGCAUCGCAACACCUCGUGUUUCUGAGCCAUGAUCACAGUGCCGAUUACCUUUCCAUUGGAUCCAAGAACCUGGACCAGCUGAUGGCGUCCAUCAGUCCACGGAUCAUCACAACGUGGACUAACUUUUUUUUUUUACAGUACUUGGUUAAACUAUGAUCUUGAAACUGGAGCACCAGAUAUGCAAAAAUCUUCCUGCAGACUUUGUUGGCUACCCUGACACUGCAGUCAUCCUGGACGGGGCUGAGCCGAUCUUCCUUUCCUCCAGAGUGACGAGUUUUCAUCACCAGUAAAGGCGAACAAGUCUGAUCUCUGAUUAGCUGCUAGGAAGUAUAUUAUAUAUUCACUGUUCAUUUUGCUAUCCUGUUUGUACCUACAAUAAAAUUGAAUCUCAUUUGUAAUACUCUA